GCCAGGAUCAACAAGUUCAGCAGCACCUCCAGCAUCUGGCAGCAGGCUGCAAAAGAAGGGCGUGUUACCAUUUUGAGAGCUGCUCUUUCGUCCUCGGAGACUUCCGCCUCGGUGCUCCUCUUCCCCGUGGUAGCUCACACCACCGCAGGCUCUGUAUUGCGCCCCGGGAGGCCCGAGCUGCCCCAGCUAUGUGAGGGGCAUGAGAUGGGCUCUGGAAAUGCUGUCGGAGGUACUCGGAGCUAGAAAGAGUAACUCUCCAGAGAGCCUGCCCCUGCUGGGGUGCAGGAAGACGGUGGGAGAAAUCAGGCCAGCUCCCAACCAGAAAAAGGCAUCCUAUAUGGAAGGAGAGAACGUUCUCUGCCCCAGCCCUUCCCUGCCAAAGAGACUAAGAAAGAGUGAUCUCCUCCUUAGAUAUGUUUUGCAGCUUGCUUCAGUUUGAAAGAGGAAACUUCUCCAAGUUUGAAAGAAAGAACAUAGAGCUUAAAAAAAUACAAUCAAGUAUGGAAGUUAUACAUCCAAAUGUUAACCGUGUUCAUGUGUAUUGGAAACAGGAAAGAUUAAUUAAACCCACAAGGCUUACUGGAUUAGAGAAACGUAAUUGGCUUCAUUGUUCUUAGAUUUCAACUCAGAUUCUACAAAGCUGGGUGUUUCUGAGCUGGAAACUGUAUAUGCUGCCACAGUCCCGCUAGGUCAGCUGACUUGGAGUAGACGGUCAGCAGCUCCCUGGUAUUUAGAGAACCAGAUUUUGUGCCUCCUGGGCCCGGGUGGUUUACGGAUGAAGCUGUGUUACACCUACACACUCUCCAACGGAACGAUAUACUCUCAGGGUGGAAUAGAAAUUACCCACGUAGCUGGUAUCUAAUAAGG